GAUUUCCCAUAAAAAAAAAAACAAAAAAAAACAUUAGAAUUAUACAGAGAUGAUUAGCAUGACCCUUACACAAUGAUGACACGAGAAACGGCCCAAAAAAUUGUCAUAGUUUU
rnacentral:snRNA from 1 species